rnacentral:rRNA from 1 species
GGGUUGUGAGGUUAAGCGACUAAGCGUACACGGUGGAUGCCCUGGCAGUCAGAGGCGAUGAAGGACGUGCUAAUCUGCGAAAAGCGUCGGUAAGGUGAUAUGAACCGUUAUAACCGGCGAUGUCCGAAUGGGGAAACCCAGUGCAAUUCGUUGCACUAUCGUUAACUGAAUACAUAGGUUAACGAGGCGAACCGGGGGAACUGAAACAUCUAAGUACCCCGAGGAAAAGAAAUCAACCGAGAUUCCCCCAGUAGCGGCGAGCGAACGGGGAGCAGCCCGGAGUCUGAAUCAGCUUGUGUGUUAGUGGAAGCGUCUGGAAAGUCGCAGGGUACAGGGUGAUACUCCCGUACACUAAAACACACAGGUUGUGAACUCGAAGAGUAGGGCGGGACACGUGGUAUCCUGUCUGAAUAUGGGGGGACCAUCCUCCAAGGCUAAAUACUCCUGACUGACCGAUAGUGAACCAGUACCGUGAGGGAAAGGCGAAAAGAACCCCGGCGAGGGGAGUGAAAAAGAACCUGAAACCGUGUACGUACAAGCAGUAGGAGCCCCACCACCAAAGCGUUUCGCUUUGCGUGGUGCGCAAAAUGCGUAACGACAGCAUGAUGGACGGUUAACGGAGCGUCAGCGACGUUCAACCUCAAAAAUCAGGCAGUGGAGCGUUUUGGGGUGGGGUGACUGCGUACCUUUUGUAUAAUGGGUCAGCGACUUAUAUUCUGUAGCAAGGUUAACCGAAUAGGGGAGCCGCAGGGAAACCGAGUCUUAACUGGGCGUUAAGUUGCAGGGUAUAGACCCGAAACCCGGUGAUCUAGCCAUGGGCAGGUUGAAGGUUGGGUAACACUAACUGGAGGACCGAACCGACUAAUGUUGAAAAAUUAGCGGAUGACUUGUGGCUGGGGGUGAAAGGCCAAUCAAACCGGGAGAUAGCUGGUUCUCCCCGAAAGCUAUUUAGGUAGCGCCUCGUGAACUCAUCUUCGGGGGUAGAGCACUGUUUCGGCUAGGGGGUCAUCCCGACUUACCAACCCGAUGCAAACUACGAAUACCGAAGAAUGUUAUCACGGGAGACACACGGCGGGUGCUAACGUCCGUCGUGAAGAGGGAAACAACCCAGACCGCCAGCUAAGGUCCCAAAGUCAUGGUUAAGUGGGAAACGAUGUGGGAAGGCCCAGACAGCCAGGAUGUUGGCUUAGAAGCAGCCAUCAUUUAAAGAAAGCGUAAUAGCUCACUGGUCGAGUCGGCCUGCGCGGAAGAUGUAACGGGGCUAAACCAUGCACCGAAGCUGCGGCAGCGACACUAUGUGUUGUUGGGUAGGGGAGCGUUCUGUAAGCCGUUGAAGGUGGCCUGUGAGGGUUGCUGGAGGUAUCAGAAGUGCGAAUGCUGACAUAAGUAACGAUAAUGCGGGUGAAAAACCCGCACGCCGGAAGACCAAGGGUUCCUGUCCAACGUUAAUCGGGGCAGGGUGAGUCGACCCCUAAGGCGAGGCCGAAAGGCGUAGUCGAUGGGAAACAGGUUAAUAUUCCUGUACUUGGUGUUACUGCGAAGGGGGGACGGAGAAGGCUAUGUUGGCCGGGCGACGGUUGUCCCGGUUUAAGCAUGUAGGCGGAUGUUCCAGGUAAAUCCGGAACGUUACUAACGCUGAGGUGUGAUGACGAGGCACUACGGUGCUGAAGUGACAAAUGCCCUGCUUCCAGGAAAAGCCUCUAAGCAUCAGGUAACAUCAAAUCGUACCCCAAACCGACACAGGUGGUCAGGUAGAGAAUACCAAGGCGCUUGAGAGAACUCGGGUGAAGGAACUAGGCAAAAUGGUGCCGUAACUUCGGGAGAAGGCACGCUGACGGUAGGUGAAGUGACUUGCUCAUGGAGCUGAAAUCAGUCGAAGAUACCAGCUGGCUGCAACUGUUUAUUAAAAACACAGCACUGUGCAAACACGAAAGUGGACGUAUACGGUGUGACGCCUGCCCGGUGCCGGAAGGUUAAUUGAUGGGGUUAUCCUCACGGAGAAGCUCUUGAUCGAAGCCCCGGUAAACGGCGGCCGUAACUAUAACGGUCCUAAGGUAGCGAAAUUCCUUGUCGGGUAAGUUCCGACCUGCACGAAUGGCGUAAUGAUGGCCAGGCUGUCUCCACCCGAGACUCAGUGAAAUUGAACUCGCUGUGAAGAUGCAGUGUACCCGCGGCAAGACGGAAAGACCCCGUGAACCUUUACUAUAGCUUGACACUGAACACUGGUCCUUGAUGUGUAGGAUAGGUGGGAGGCUUUGAAGUGUGGACGCCAGUCUGCAUGGAGCCAUCCUUGAAAUACCACCCUUUAAUGGCUGGUGUUCUAACGUGGGCCCGUGAUCCGGGUUGCGGACAGUGUCUGGUGGGUAGUUUGACUGGGGCGGUCUCCUCCUAAAGAGUAACGGAGGAGCACGAAGGUCAGCUAAUCCUGGUCGGACAUCAGGAGGUUAGUGCAAUGGCAUAAGCUGGCUUGACUGCGAGCGUGACGGCGCGAGCAGGUGCGAAAGCAGGUCAUAGUGAUCCGGUGGUUCUGAAUGGAAGGGCCAUCGCUCAACGGAUAAAAGGUACUCCGGGGAUAACAGGCUGAUACCGCCCAAGAGUUCAUAUCGACGGCGGUGUUUGGCACCUCGAUGUCGGCUCAUCACAUCCUGGGGCUGAAGUAGGUCCCAAGGGUAUGGCUGUUCGCCAUUUAAAGUGGUACGCGAGCUGGGUUUAGAACGUCGUGAGACAGUUCGGUCCCUAUCUGCCGUGGGCGCUGGAGAAUUGAGGGGGGCUGCUCCUAGUACGAGAGGACCGGAGUGGACGCAUCACUGGUGUUCGGGUUGUCAUGCCAAUGGCAUUGCCCGGUAGCUAAAUGCGGAAGAGAUAAGUGCUGAAAGCAUCUAAGCACGAAACUUGCCCCGAGAUGAGUUCUCCCUGACUCCUUGAGAGUCCUGAAGGAACGUUGAAGACGACGACGUUGAUAGGCCGGGUGUGUAAGCGCAGCGAUGCGUUGAGCUAACCGGUACUAAUGAACCGUGAGGCUUAACCUUACAACGCCGAAG